rnacentral:rRNA from 1 species
GUGGGGAAUAUUGGACAAUGGGCGCAAGCCUGAUCCAGCAAUGCCGCGUGGGUGAAGAAGGUCUUCGGAUCGUAAAGCCCUUUCGACAGGGACGAUGAUGACGGUACCUGUAGAAGAAGCCCCGGCUAACUUCGUGCCAGCAGCCGCGGUAAUACGAAGGGGGCUAGCGUUACUCGGAAUUACUGGGCGUAAAGGGCGCGUAGGCGGCUCUGUUAGUCAGGCGUGAAAUUCCUGGGCUUAACCUGGGGACUGCGCUUGAUACUGCAGGGCUUGAGGCCGAGAGAGGGUGGUGGAAUUCCCGGUGUAGCGGUGAAAUGCGUAGAGAUCGGGAGGAACACCAGUGGCGAAGGCGACUUACUGGACUGUAACUGACGCUGAGGCGCGAAAGUGUGGGGAGCAAACAGGAUUAGAUACCCCAGUAGUCC